CCUACGGGGUGCACCAGUGGGGAAUAUUGCACAAUGGGCGCAAGCCUGAUGCAGCCAUGCCGCGUGUAUGAAGAAGGCCUUCGGGUUGUAAAGUACUUUCAGCGGGGAGGAAGGUGUUGUGGUUAAUAACCGCAGCAAUUGACGUUGCCCGCAGAAGAAGCACCGGCUAACUCCGUGCCAGCAGCCGCGGUAAUACGGAGGGUGCAAGCGUUAAUCGGAAUUACUGGGCGUAAAGCGCACGCAGGCGGUCUGUCAAGUCGGAUGUGAAAUCCCCGGGCUCAACCUGGGAACUGCAUUCGAAACUGGCAGGCUAGAGUCUUGUAGAGGGGGGUAGAAUUCCAGGUGUAGCGGUGAAAUGCGUAGAGAUCUGGAGGAAUACCGGUGGCGAAGGCGGCCCCCUGGACAAAGACUGACGCUCAGGUGCGAAAGCGUGGGGAGCAAACAGGAUUAGAUACCCGCGUAGUC
rnacentral:rRNA from 1 species